UCAUCCCCUGAGGGGAUGAGAGGGUUGGACACGAGAUACUCAAUGGGUGCAGGUGUGAUGACAAAACUGUAUUGCGAGAUGCCAAGUCCGACAUCCCCGGACAGCUAGGCGACAGUGCUGCCUCAGGUGGCAAUGUAUAGAAGUACUUAACCUAACA